AUUGAACGCUGGCGGCAGGCCUAACACAUGCAAGUCGAACGAGUGGCGGACGGGUGAGUAAUGUCUGGGAAACUGCCCGAUGGAGGGGGAUAACUACUGGAAACGGUAGCUAAUACCGCAUACCAUCGGAUGUGCCCAUAUGGGAUUAGCUAGUAGGGGGGGUAAAGGCUCACCUAGGGGACGAUCCCUAGCUGGUCUGAGAGGAUGACCAGCCACACGUGAACUGAGACACGGUCCAGACUCCUACGGGAGGCAGCAGUGGGGAAUAUUGAACAAUGGGAGCAAGCCUGAUGCAGUAAUGCCGCGUGUAUGAAGAAGGCCUUCGGGUUGUAAAGUACUUUCAGCGAGGAGGCGUUACUCGCAGAAGAAGCACCGGCUAACUCCGGGCCAGCAGCCGCGGUAAUUC
rnacentral:rRNA from 1 species